GAUGAACGCUAGCUACAGGCUUAACACAUGCAAGUUGAGGGGAAACGAUGAGAGAGCUUGCUCUCUUAGGCGUCGACCGGCGCACGGGUGAGUAACGCGUAUCCAACCUACCCAUUACAGGGGGAUAACCUUGCGAAAGUAAGACUAAUACCCCAUGGCAUUUUAUGGUGGCAUCAUUAUAGGAUUAAAGAUUUAUUGGUAAUGGAUGGGGAUGCGUCUGAUUAGCUUGUUGGCGGGGUAACGGCCCACCAAGGCAACGAUCAGUAGGGGUUCUGAGAGGAAGGUCCCCCACAUUGGAACUGAGACACGGUCCAAACUCCUACGGGAGGCAGCAGUGAGGAAUAGUGGUCAAUGGGCGAGAGCUUGAACCAGCCAAGUAGCGUGCAGGAUGACGGCCCUAUGGGUUGUAAACUGCUUUUAUAGGGGAAUAAAGUGAGCUACGUGUAGUUUAUUGCAUGUACCCUAUGAAUAAGGACCGGCUAAUUCCGUG
rnacentral:rRNA from 1 species